GGUUCAAUGGUCUAGUGGUUAUGAUUUCUGUCUCACAUUGAACUACAACUUAUGCGCGCACAGAAGGUCUCCAGUUCGAUCCUGGAUUGAACCA